rnacentral:rRNA from 1 species
UUUGCUGGCGACCGGCGCACGGGUGAGUAACACGUAUCCAACCUGCCCUUUACUCGGGGAUAGCCUUUCGAAAGAAAGAUUAAUACCCGAUAGUAUAAUGAUUCCGCAUGGUUUCAUUAUUAAAGGAUUCCGGUAAAGGAUGGGGAUGCGUUCCAUUAGGUUGUUGGUGAGGUAGCGGCUCACCAAGCCUUCGAUGGAUAGGGGUUCUGAGAGGAAGGUCCCCCACAUUGGAACUGAGACACGGUCCAAACUCCUACGGGAGGCAGCAUG